AUUGAACGCUGGCGGCAGGCCUAACACAUGCAAGUCGAACGGUAACAGGAAGCAGCUUGCUGCUUUGCUGACGAGUGGCGGACGGGUGAGUAAUGUCUGGGAAACUGCCUGAUGGAGGGGGAUAACUACUGGAAACGGUAGCUAAUACCGCAUAACGUCGCAAGACCAAAGAGGGGGACCUUCGGGCCUCUUGCCAUCGGAUGUGCCCAGAUGGGAUUAGCUAGUAGGUGGGGUAACGGCUCACCUAGGCGACGAUCCCUAGCUGGUCUGAGAGGAUGACCAGCCACACUGGAACUGAGACACGGUCCAGACUCCUACGGGAGGCAGCAGUGGGGAAUAUUGCACAAUGGGCGAGAGCCUGAUGCAGCCAUGCCGCGUGUAUGAAGAAGGCCUUCGGGUUGUAAAGUACUUUCAGCGGGGAGGAAGGGAGUAAAGUUAAUACCUUUGCUCAUUGACGUUACCCGCAGAAGAAGCACCGGCUAACUCCGUG
rnacentral:rRNA from 1 species